AUGGUAUGAUGAGAUUGCAUGAUAGCAUCAUUAAAGAUUUAUCGGUGUACGAUGGGGAUGCGUUCCAUUAGGUAGUAGGCGGGGUAACGGCCCACCUAGCCAACGAUGGAUAGGGGUUCUGAGAGGAAGGUCCCCCACAUUGGAACUGAGACACGGUCCAAACUCCUACGGGAGGCAGCAGUGAGGAAUAUUGGUCAAUGGACGAGAGUCUGAACCAGCCAAGUAACGUGAAGGAUGAAGGUCCUACGGAUUGUAAACUUCUUUUAUAAGGGAAUAAACCCUCCCACGUGUGGGAGCUUGUAUGUACCUUAUGAAUAAGCAUCGGCUAACUCCGUGCCAGCAGCCGCGGUAAUACGGAGGAUGCGAGCGUUAUCCGGAUUUAUUGGGUUUAAAGGGAGCGCAGACGGGUCGUUAAGUCAGCUGUGAAAGUUUGGGGCUCAACCUUAAAAUUGCAGUUGAUACUGGCGUCCUUGAGUGCGGUUGAGGUGUGCGGAAUUCGUGGUGUAGCGGUGAAAUGCUUAGAUAUCACGAAGAACUCCGAUUGCGAAGGCAGCACACUAAUCCGUAACUGACGUUCAUGCUCGAAAGUGUGGGUAUCAAACAGGAUUAGAUACCCUGGUAGUC
rnacentral:rRNA from 1 species